rnacentral:tRNA from 1 species
GCGGUCGUGGCGGAAUGGUAGACGCGCAAGCUUGAGGUGCUUGUGAGGGAAACCUCGUGGAAGUUCGAGUCUUCUCGACCGCA